ensembl:lncRNA
UUUUUUUUUCUUUUUUAACUUAGAGAAAACAAGAAGACGUGACAACACCAGAAACAAGAACAUGUCUCCGGCCAGCCUGUGCUGACCAGUACACAGUGAAUCACGCACAGAAAAGUAUGUCAUUCCGGUCGGUGUCUAGAAGCUCCACCGCCUGGCAAACAGACUGCAAAUAAAUAAAGUGCAUGGAGACCCCAUCACGCAGCAAGGGCCCCGUCGGGGAGAGAAGAGGUGGGGAGGGGAGGUGGAGAAGCAGCAGGCGGGGCUACCACUUCAAGCAGCAGGCGUGAAAAGGCAGGGACAGGAGCAGAUGCUGAGGGGCUCAGCCCUGCUCCUCCCCAGCCAGCCCCUCUAGGCCAAUACAGCCACGGCAGAAGCCACGGGGCGGCGGGGUGGGGAGGACAUGGAUUUCCAUGCCCCUCUUAUGGGGUGGGGCUCCCUGCAGUCGGGGGUCUCUGAGGGUAGGGACCCCUGCAGCUCUGAUGCACAUUUCUCCCAGUAGGGAAGCAGGUUCCAGGGUCCCAGGCCGAGCCCCUUGCAUGGGGAGGGCUCAGUCACCCCCCACACUCCCACGCAUGCAAUCAGCAAAGAGCUUUCCUCCGUCCUUCCUGGCUGGCCCAGGAAGAGGGUGGAGCUGGGGAUCCAGUCACCCAGAGGGUGACACCAGGGCUUGAAAGGGCCACAUCUGUGCAUCAGACACAAGGAGGCCCCUCACUCCUCUUCUCCUCCAACCCUGUGUCACUCUUGUCCUAUAGAGGCUGCCCCCAGAGAUCUGUUGGGAGGACCAGCAGGCUGACGGGUCCCCAGAGGUGGUCCAGGGUGGACAGGGUUGCGGGGGAUGAAAGGCCAGCAGGGUCAGGGGUUCUCAGGAAACUUAGGACUAGGAGGCACGCCAUCGGGCCCUGGCUGUGGGAGACUGCAGGGGGCACGAGGCAGCCACUGUCCAGCCUCUUCUGGGGUGAGGCAGGCAGCCGGCUUCAUUCAGGACCUGGGUCCAGUGGGCAGCUGAGGAGGGUACAUGGUAGGUGGCUGGGCCACUCUGUCCCUGAAGCUGGCCAGACUGCUGCAGUUUUCAGUCCCAGGAACUGAGAACGUGGCCCUCCGGGUACCAGUGCAAGAGAUGGGGAAAUGGGGAAAGAGGGUGAGGGCGAGGGUCUCUUCCUGGCUCCCCUCUGGGCUGCUCCUGACCAUUGUACACUGGCUAGCAGCACACCCGGGGGCCCCCAGGACCAAUCCAAGCCGUGAGAUGAGAUUCUCCUGUGUGAUCCUGGGGAUGGGGGGUCGAACUUGAGGAGAGAGAAUUGGGGUCAUGCCAUGGGUCUCAGCCCCAGCACACCCCAAGUUUAUCCUUUCACCCUCCUGGUUAUGUCGUGUCUCCAGGAGCCACAACACCAAGAUCACCCCCAGUUGCCCACCAAACUGGGAGGCUUGUGCCACUGCACUUCUAAGGAGCCUUGGUGAAGCUCCAGGUGGGGUGGGGAGGUUAGGCUGUGGGGGAGAGCUUGGCUCCCCAAGGGUCCUGGGGCCCAUCUCUUCUGUCUCCCAUCUCAGCUGUCUGUCCUCCUGAUCUUCCCUGUGACCUUCCGUACUGCUCCAAAGAAAGUGAGAUCCCCAGAUUCCAUACCCCUAGGCCCCUUUCUCCCUUGGUGCCCCAGGAGCCCUAUGCUUCCCUCUCCACUUCCCCUUCCCUCCUCCCACCAUGCCAGGUCUUGGAGAAGACUGGGGAGGGGUGUGGGGGCCUGCAGGCCCAGGGGCACACGCAGUUCCUCCUCCUCCUAUCUGCGUGUCAAGGGCAACCCCCCACCUCCCCGAAGCCUCAGUUUCCUCUGUCAUUAGAAGGGGGAAAU